AGAGUUUGAUCAUGGCUCAGAUUGAACGCUGGCGGCAGGCUUAACCCAUGCAAGUCGAACGGUAACAGAACUAGCUUGCUAGUUGCUGACGAGUGGCGGACGGGUGAGUAACGCGUAGGAAUCUACCGAGUAGUGGGGGACAACAGUUGGAAACGACUGCUAAUACCGCAUAAUCCCUGAGGGGGAAAGGAGGGGAUCUGUUUACAGACCUUUCGCUAUUUGAUGAGCCUGCGUGAGAUUANCUAGUUGGUGAGGUAAUGGCUCACCAAGGCGACGAUCUCUAGCUGGUCUGAGAGGAUGAUCAGCCACACUGGAACUGAGACACGGUCCAGACUCCUACGGGAGGCAGCAGUGGGGAAUAUUGCACAAUGGGGGAAACCCUGAUGCAGCCAUGCCGCGUGUGUGAAGAAGGCCUUCGGGUUGUAAAGCACUUUCAGCGAGGAGGAAAGGUUGGUAGUUAAUAACUGCUAACUGUGACGUUACUCGCAGAAGAAGCACCGGCUAACUCCGUGCCAGCAGCCGCGGUAAUACGGAGGGUGCAAGCGUAAUCGGAAUUACUGGGCGUAAAGCGCGCGUAGGUGGUUUGUUAAGUGGAAUGUGAAAGCCCUGGGCUCA
rnacentral:rRNA from 1 species